rnacentral:tRNA from 1 species
GUCCCCGUCGUCUAGUGGCCCAGGACGCUGCCUUCUCAAGGCAGAAACAUAGGUUCGAAUCCUGUCGGGGACGCCA